rnacentral:rRNA from 1 species
UUGGAGGGCAAGUCUGGUGCCAGCAGCCGCGGUAAUUCCAGCUCCAAUAGCGUAUAUUAAAGUUGUUGCAGUUAAAAAGCUCGUAGUUGAAUUUCGGGAUCAGUACGCCGGUCGUGCCUUCGGUAUGCACUGGUGUCACUGGUUUCUCCCUUCUGAAGAACCAUCAUGCCAUUCAGUUGGUGUGGCGGGGAAUCAGGACUGUUACUUUGAAAAAAUUAGAGUGUUUAAAGCAGGCUCGCGCUUGAAUACAUUAGCAUGGAAUAAUGAAAUAGGACGUUUGACCCUAUUUUGUUGGUUUCUAGGAUCGACGUAAUGAUUAAUAGGGAUAGUUGGGGGCAUUAGUAUUCAAUUGUCAGAGGUGAAAUUCUUGGAUUUAUUGAAGACUAACUACUGCGAAAGCAUUUGCCAAGGAUGUUUUCAUUAAUCAAGAACGAAAGUUAGGGGAUCGAAGACGAUCAGAUACCGUCGUAGUCUUAACCAUAAACUAUGCCGACUAGGGAUCGGAUGAUGUUAAUUUUUUAAUGACUCAUUCGGCGCCUUACGGGAAACA